GAUUAGAGUUUGAUCCUGGCUCAGGAUGAACGCUAGCGGCAGGCCUAACACAUGCAAGUCGAGGGGUAUUAGGAGCUUGCUCCUAAGAGACCGGCGCACGGGUGCGUAGCGCGUAUGCAAUCUACCUUUUACAGGGGAAUAGCCCAGAGAAAUUUGGAUUAAUGCCCCAUGGUAUAUAUGAAUCGCAUGGUUUAUAUAUUAAAGUUCCAACGGUAAAAGAUGAGCAUGCGUCCCAUUAGUUAGUUGGUAAGGUAACGGCUUACCAAGACGAUGAUGGGUAGGGGUCCUGAGAGGGAGAUCCCCCACACUGGUACUGAGACACGGACCAGACUCCUACGGGAGGCAGCAGUGAGGAAUAUUGGACAAUGGGCGCAAGCCUGAUCCAGCCAUGCCGCGUGCAGGAAGAAGCAUCUAUGGUGUGUAAACUGCUUUUGUACGGGAAGAAACAUCACUACGUGUAGUGACUUGACGGUACCGUAAGAAUAAGGAACGGCUAACUACGUGCCAGCAGCCGCGGUAAUAAU
rnacentral:rRNA from 1 species